rnacentral:rRNA from 1 species
UACGGGGGGGGCUAGCGUUGUUCGGAAUUACUGGGCGUAAAGGGCGCGUAGGCGGCCUACUAAGUCGGACGUGAAAUCCCUCGGCUCAACCGGGGAACUGCGUCUGAGACUGGAAGGCUUGAAUCCGGGAGAGGGAUGUGGAAUUCCAGGUGUAGCGGUGAAAUGCGUAGAUAUCUGGAGGAACACCGGUGGCGAAGGCGGCAUCCUGGACCGGCAUUGACGCUGAGGCGCGAAAGCCAGGGGAGCAAACGGG